CUCUUUUCUCUGUUCAGUCUCAAAUACUGGAGAAUUGUGGAUUAGUAUGUAUUUUUAGUCUUGAUACACUGAAACGAAGAUUUGAUUUUUUUUUUUAAAUUAAUUGAUAGAAUCCUGGACCAAUUUUCUCUUACCAAACUUGUAUCCUCAAUUCCAGAGGAAGAAGUGACCAGUUGUGGGCUUUACUCUCUGAAGGAGAUUAUUUCCAUCCAAACACACUGAAUCUCCCCACCAGCCUUAAGGAAAUAUCCAUCAAUAUCUUCCAUAUCUGACUCAGAAGAUUCCUGAACUAAAAGAUAAGAAACUUAUAGGAAACAGACAUUCCUUAGGGGGUCCACAAGCAUGCAAGGAGAAGUAGGAGUUUUCAUCAGCAGGAGCACUGAUGGCCUUUUUCUACCAUGCAGGAUUAUCAUUCUUUUCUCUGCCAUCAAUUUGAUAACCUUGGGAUUUUAUCACUUUCCUGACCUCUCUGAAACCUGUCUUGGAAGAAAGAAGGAAAGUCAUUUGUAAAACACUGCACAUCACUGCCUUCAGGUCACCAGGGAGCAAACUAGAAGAUGUCUUGAUGUUGAUCUGAUAAAAAAUGAAAAUCUUUGUAUGCAGAAUUGGUCCUACCAACUCACCACUGGUAGGACCUGAGCUGAAUUUUGACUCACUGUUUCUUUUUAAAGUUGGGCUUUUAAAAAUGUAUCUAUCAAAUAUGUAUAGAAGAAUUGCACAUUUUUAACAUAUAUUGGAUUACUUGCUACCUAGGAGAGACAGUGAGGGGAAGGGAAGGAGAAAACAUUUGGAACACAAGAUUUUUAAGGGUAAAUAUUGAAAACUAUCUUUGCAUGUAUUUUGAAAAUAAAAAGCUAUUAUUAAAAUCAAAAUCAAAAUCAAGUGAACCAAAAUAAAAUAGCAUAUAUCCAUCUUUUGGUACUGAUCCAACCACACCACACCCCCAGUUAUCUUGUGGCUAGUGGCAUAUGUUUGAGCGACAUUUCCCUGGCAGAGAACAGAGAUACUCUCAGUGGUCUUGGACUACAGGCAGAUUGGAUUCAUGACCCUGUCCCCAUAGUAACCAGUAAAUUCAUAGGAUAGGGAAGUACAACCUUUCUUCUCUCCCUAUCCUUUUUUUCCCCUUCUACAACAAACUUGCAUGGCUCUUGAGAAAACUGCAGUCACAAGGAACCCAAGAGCAUUUUUUGGUUUGGGCUCUGCCUAUUGUGGACAACCAAUUAGUGCAAGAGUUAGAGCACAGGGGUCUGGAAUUAGAAAGAUUCAUUUUCCU